rnacentral:rRNA from 2 species
GAUUUCUGGUUCGGCGCACUUGGCCCGCCUCGGUUUACGGGGUCGCGUGCCGGUGUGCGCCAUCCAUCCUUCGGAAAAACGUAUCUACCCUUCACUGGGCCGGAUACGCUAUUCCGAUCUUUUACUUUGAAAAAAUUAGAGUGUUUAAAGCAGGCUCGCGGCUGUGAAUACAUUAGCAUGGAAUAAUAAUUUAGGACUUUGGUCUUAUUUUGUUGGUUUCUAGGACUAAAGUAAUGAUUGAUAGGGACAGUUGGGGGUGCUAGUAUUCAGCGGCCAGAGGUGAAAUUCUUGGAUUCGCUGAAGACUAACUUAUGCGAAAGCAUU